CCUACGGGAGGCAGCAGUAGGGAAUAUUGCUCAAUGGGGGAAACCCUGAAGCAGCAACGCCGCGUGGAGGAUGAAGGUUUUCGGAUUGUAAACUCCUUUUGUUAGAGAAGAUAAUGACGGUAUCUAACGAAUAAGCACCGGCUAACUCCGUGCCAGCUGCCGCGGUAAUACGGAGGGUGCAAGCGUUACUCGGAAUCACUGGGCGUAAAGCGCGCGUAGGCGGGAUAGCAAGUCAGAUGUGAAAUCCUAUGGCUUAACCAUAGAACUGCAUUUGAAACUGUUAUUCUAGAGUAUGGGAGAGGUAGGUGGAAUUCUUGGUGUAGGGGUAAAAUCCGUAGAGAUCAAGAGGAAUACUCAGUGCGAAGGCGACCUGCUAGAACAUAACUGACGCUGAUGCGCGAAAGCGUGGGGAGCAAACAGGAUUAGAUACCCUGGUAGUC
rnacentral:rRNA from 1 species